rnacentral:rRNA from 1 species
UACGAAGGGGGCUAGCGUUGCUCGGAUUGACUGGGCGUAAAGGGCGCGUAGGCGGUUCGAUAAGUCCCGUGUGAAAUCCCUCGGCUCAACUGAGGAAUGGCACGGGAAACUGACGGGCUUGAGUUCGGAAGUGAGCGAGUGGAAUUCCCGGUGUAGCGGUGAAAUGCGCAGAUAUCGGGAGGAACACCAAUGGCGAAGGGCAGCUCGCUGGGGACGUUACUGACGCUGAGACGCGAAAGCGUGGGGAGCAAACAGG